UACGGGGGGGGCAAGCGUUGUUCGGAAUUACUGGGCGUAAAGGGCUCGUAGGCGGCCAACUAAGUCAUACGUGAAAUCCCUCGGCUUAACCGGGGAACUGCGUCUGAUACUGGAUGGCUUGAGUUCGGGAGAGGGAUGCGGAAUUCCAGGUGCAGCGGUGAAAUGCGUAGAUAUCUGGAGGAACACCGGUGGCGAAGGCGGCAUCCUGGACCGAUACUGACGCUGAGGAGCGAAAGCCAGGGGAGCAAACGGG
rnacentral:rRNA from 1 species